rnacentral:ncRNA from 1 species
AGAUAGAGGCGCGGCGUUCAAGAGUACACCCCGCAGGGAAGCAGCUUUCGCGGGAGUGGAAAGGGGACAUCGCCGAAGCGGAGAAACGCAGCUGCGUGUUUCUUUGCUGGGCCGUCGGAGAACAUCCGCCGGACUGUCACGCGAGUGGAGCGCUAUCGA